GCGUCUCUAGCUAUGUUGAGACGCGGCAUACGGCUCAGUAACACGUGGCUAACCUACCCUCAGGACAGGGACAAACCCGGGAAACUGGGGCUAAUACCAGAUAGGCGAGGACGCCUGGAAUGGUUCUUCACCCAAAGGACCUUGGAAACAUGCUUCCAAGUCGCCUGGGGAUGGGGCCGCGUCCGAUCAGGUUGUUGGUGAGGUAACGGCUCACCAAGCCUAUAACCGGUACGGGCCGUGAGAGCGGUAGCCCGGAGAUGGGCACUGAGACAAGGGCCCAGGCCCUACGGGGCGCAGCAGUCGCGAAAACUCCGCAAUGCACGAAAGUGUGACGGGGCUACCCCGAGUGCCGUCCGCUGAGGAUGGCUUUUCCUCGGUGUAACUAGCCGGGGGAAUAAGGAGAGGGCAAGACUGGUGUCAGCCGCCGCGGUAAUACCAGCUCUCCGAGUGGUAGGGACGAUUAUUGGGCUUAAAGCGUCCGUAGCUGGCUUAGCAAGUCUCCUGUUAAAUCCAGCGACCUAAUCGUUGAGCCGCG
rnacentral:rRNA from 1 species